UGGAAAUGAUGAAAUAGAGAUAAUUGGGUGUUGAAUGUUGUAUGAUUGGAAGAUUUUAAUACGUAAGUAAUCUAAGUUUAAUAUUUUUUAGCUAUUUGAUAGAGUGUGUGUGCAUGUGUGUGUGCUUGUGGAGGCUAUGAAAAGGGGGCACUGACUGGUGAUGCUGACGUUGGAGUGCAUCUGAGGCUGUUGUAGAAAUACAUGGGUUGUUGAUUACAACAUUGCCGAUGAUUAUAACCCAAGAACAGCUCACCUAAGUAGCCUAGCACCCUAAAAUCUCUAACAGGUUCAUUAAACAUGAUCCUGUGAUCUGAUCCAA
rnacentral:snoRNA from 1 species